rnacentral:sRNA from 1 species
GUUAUGGAUAAAGCAAUGAGAUUGGAGUUCGAAACUGUCUCGUCCCUUGUGAUGGAUGAAUUUACAGUAUGGUUAUUCCGCUUAUCAGACGGUGUGCUGAUUUCAAAAUUCCAAAAUAUUAUGAACGUUUACUUUUGGUGGGAGUAUUUGAUUUCGCUGUGCAUACAUGACGCGUAGCGAUUCUGUCUCGUGCUCCGUAGUUAUUAUCUGCAGUCAGUUGCUACUUUUCUGUGCCCACCAGCUGUUCGACAAAAAUGCCAACUAAUCAAGAUGAAACCUUGAUCACUUGAACAUUUCUUCUUCUCUUUCGUCAAUGACGGCUAGGGAAAAAGUUUCUGCUUGAUUUCUCCACCUAAAGAUAGUCUUCAAUGGAAAUGUUCAAGGCAUCCCUAUCUGCACAAUCUUCACCACUUCCUUUCCAAGUCGCAGUAUCAUAGCCCUCAAAACCAUUCCACCAAAACUCAUCAGAAUCAUCAGCUCCAACAAUGCCAUUCCUUUCCUCCAUUUUCUUCUCACUCUCCUGACUUUGUGCCACCCCACUUGAACUUCCGCCGGCAGCAAUGUUUCUGGCGUCAACAUCCAUGCCAACAUCGGAAGCCACCUUCUGAACAGACCUUGGAGACAUGUCCCUCAGCUGACCACUGUAAGAAGACAAGGUGUCUGGCAAGUUAAGUUUGUCCAACGAAGAAGGCCUCCUGAGACAGUAUACGGCGACGUCGUGGGCAACCGCCGCCGCCUCCGGCGUGACGUAGGUUCCCAGCCAGAGCCGCUCUUGGGUGCCCGGAACGCGAAUCUCCGACACCCACUUGCCCCAUUUGCGACGGCGAACACCCUUAAACUUGUGGUCCCUGCUUGGACAAAUUGCAUGCAGCGCUGAACUUUUACUCAUUUGGGUAACCGAGAUUAUGGUAUCUGUA